CCGAGUGAUGAGGUGUUGCAGCAGUUAUGAAACAGCAGAGCAGAGGAGCCUGAGCAUGGGGCGCCAUCUCAAUGAAGCUGUCACUCAAUCAGCAGACAGGACAUAAUAAUUUAGCUGUUAAAAUAACAUCCCAUCUCAUCCAAUUCCUCCGCAUAGAAAGAGAUGCACAAAUCAAUAAGUCAGCGGAGAACAGAAUUUGACAUGUACUUUUAAUUCCGUCAUGUCCUCGUUUUGUUUGUGGUGGGCGAUGAGAAAAUGAUGAUGUUGGUUCAUUCUGGCGAGGACUCCAGUAAUUCAGUGGAGUUUACACAACUCACCUACUGCAGUAUCGAAAUAGAUGUCUUUUCACAGGAAAUUUGUGUGUAUGUGUGCAAGCCCUCAGGCUCAUACGCUUGCAGACUUGCUUAAAACAGGUCUUUUGUUUUUAUGUUAAAUGUCCUGGAAAAGGGAACAGGAAUUAGACAUGUCAAAAAAAAAAAAAGAGAGAACAAAUAAAUCUUUCUCUCUUUCAGGGAGUCCCCUUCCUCGGCCAAUGGUGCAGAAGCGAUGGUUUGUGGCAGUGAGAUUCAUGCUGACUCACAUGUGACUUGUCUACCAGCACCAGAUGUGCAUGAUGCUUGCUGUUUCCCUUCUCUGUUCUUCUGUAAGAGUCCUGCAAAUGCAAAAAAUCCCAACCAUCAUUCCUUGACACAUACAGAUAAGAAAGAAAACGCUGCUUCAGUUUUAAGCUUCAAGGUUUGUGCUGUUUGUGCAUUCUGUUUGUGUAAUUCUUCAAAACUUGUCAAUAACGGUUUUAACUGUUCAUUUACGCUGUAUGAGUGUUUCAAAUUCAUACUAAUAUUUUAAAUGGUUGCUUUGGGUGAAAAUUCCUUUUGUUGCAUGUCACUCUCGGUAAGCCUGAAAUUACAUUGUAUGUUCUAUUAUGUUGUUACCUGAAUAGAGUCGUUAGAACAGCGAGUUUUGUUGGCUUUUUAGUGUUUCUGUGUAUCCGAGUGUGUGCAUGUUGUUGCAGCGUUCACUAAAUUGAGUGUGUGUGGGGCAGACCACUCUCAAGAAGGUGAGGUCAUCGGCCAAGGCUAUACACGCCCGAUCCUCUUGUCUCAAAAUCCACACCUGUUUCUGACUGCCUUUGCAAAUUAUUACAGGAUCAAAGAAGAAUUAGUUGAAGCUCUCCUGUAUCUGUCAAAGACUUCUAACUUUGGGAUCAUGACUCAAGAAAAUGCCCAGAUUUAUCUCUGUGGUUUUUAUUUUCAGAGGUUACGUAUCGCUGUAACCUGGAGACCAGUAGAGUCAUGAAGAAUUAGAUUAUUAAUACAUCCGCUUGCACUUUAUAGCAGCUGCCAAAACAACAGGAAAGGACAUGGCCUCACGUUUUCAAUUGAUGAGCUGAUUAUAUUAAUAUCUCGACCUUUAAACCUCCGUGUCAAUCAAGCUCUGAAGUUUUUUUGAGAAGCUGGCCCUGUAUAAAUCUUAAUAUCUUUUUAUAAUCACACUCCAUUCUGUGAUUAAAAACCCUGGAGACCUUGAAGUAUGAAUCAUGCUGAGCGUGUGUGUUGUGGGGAGGUGGGUUGAGAGGAUGUUGAAUUAUGUCAUCCAUUCCAUUUCCAAUGACAUAAUGAAUUGUGCGUGUUAGAAAGUGAAUGGAUUAAUAGUAGUUUGCUAGUAUAGUCAGCACCCAGGAAUGCACUGUAAAGGAUUUCAAUUUAGCUUUCGUACUAAAAUAGCAUCAGGAUCAAUGACCACAUCAGCAUCAACAACAACAUUUACAUGCACAUCAUUUUUUUAAUGAAUACUUUUAUUCAGCAAAUUAAAUUGAUCAAAAUUAACAGUAAAGACUGACAAUGUUUCAAAACAUUCUUAACGUAAAUUAUUCUUUCUAUCCAUCAAAAAAAAAUGGAUCAUGAUUUCUGCAGCACAACAGUUUUCAACUGAUAAAAAUAAAUGUUUGUUGAGCACUAAAUCAGCUUAUCAGAAUGAUUUCUGAAGGACCAUGUAACACUGAAGUAUAUAUACUGUCUAAAACUUGGUAUUACAAGCACUUCCUGUGUCUGUUUGCCUCUUUAAGAAGAAUCGCUUUAUGUAUCCCCCAAUUGUAAUUCGUUUUGGAUAAAAGCAUCUGCAAAAUGACUAAAUGUGAAUACAGUGUACAUUCUAGUGAAGCCUUUAAAAAAGUCUAUUGGAAUAUUGCUCUAUAUACUCAGAACCAUUCAAAUACUAAGCCAUGACAUGUUCACUCUUUGCAUGCUCUUCAGGAAAUAAUAAGGAUGCUAACCAUUAUUAUGCUGUAUUUCAAACUUGCUAAUUCUCAUUUAUUUACUUAACACAGAAGAAUGCAAUGAAAUACAAUCACAACAUGGUUGGUAAUUAACAGGGGUUCGGGGGGGGUUAAUGAUUCAGUUGAAUGUAUGAUUCAAAGACUCAUUUAGCUUAUUAGGACAGUGACUUGCACCCCACCCACCCCAUCAUUUAAUUUCAUUUCCCAACAUUUUAUAUUUAAAACUCAUAGUAUUAUUUAUACAGUUGUAAUGCAGUGUAAAUGCAUUUAUGUAACUUCUGAGUUGCAUUAAACAGUGUAAAUAUCUUAAGUACCAAGUCAAAUGCAGCUUCUGCAGUGCAAAGAUCAUUGGAAUGGUAACAGACCUGUAGUUUAUUAUUUUUGUUGAAUUGAUUUAUUGAAUGUAUGAAUUUGAAAUAAAAAAAUGAACAUUAAAGAUAGAAAAUGUGUAAAGUAAAAAAAAAAUGUUCCUAUAAAUCAGUUUAAGGAAGAAAAUUUCAGCUCUUAAUUUCAAGUCCCUAAACAACUUGGCCCCAUCUUAUCUAUCUGCGCUUCUAUCUCCACAUUACCCUUCUCGAGCUCUUCGGUCCGGUAGUCACAGAUUGCUCACAAUGUUCCCAGAGCCAGACUUAAACAAAGAGGUGAACGUGCUGUUGCGGGUCCUAAACUCUGGAACAGGUUACCAGCUCAUGUUAGAUUUGCUCCUACAAUACAGAUUUUUAAAUAUUUGCUUAAAACUCAUUAUUUUUCCAUUGCUUUUAAUGUCCCUUGAUGUUUAAUUUUUAAAUUUGACUUCUGUUGUUCUGAUUUUCUUUUGAGAUCCUGCUGCUAAUUUUUCUCUGACUUUUUUGUGAUAUUUUAAAAUUGUUUUGCUUGUAUUUAUUUUAUCUGAUGCUGUAAAGCACAUUGGUCAGCUGCCGCUGUUUUAAUGGUACUAUAUGAGUAAAUUAAACUUGAACUUGAAACUUAAUGGAAAGGUUCAUUUCAGUCACAGUAGCUUAUAAAAUAAAAAAUAUAUAUAUUUCUUAACCAACAAUGUAUUUCUUUAGUAUUUUGACUUCUCACAACACUGUUUAAUACUACCCACAAUUACCUUUGUUUACAGUUUUUUUUUAAUUUCUAACAAGCGUUUACCAAUACUUAAAGUACUUUUUCUAAACUCUUAACACAGCAACACACCUACAUCAUGCAAUUAGCCAAAUAGUUAAUUUUCUGGUCAAAACCACAUUUUGUUAAAUAAAUACAAACUCUACAUUUCAAAAUGCUGAAUACCUUUUUCUACAUAUACUAACUCUAUAAAAACACAGCAAACUCAAUUCAAAAUCGAGUCAUUCGGACAAAACAUUAGCACUACCUUUCUAUCCAAUAGGAACAUAAAAUCAAUCAUAGCACAGUGACUGUCAAAAUACAGAUGGCUUUACAAAAACUGCAUUACUUUCUUGUACAUGUUUGACGUACAUGUUUCAGUUCUACCUGCAUAUAGACAAUAUAAAAAUCCAUUGUUUUUUGUAAUUUGGUUACCUUCAACUGAAACCCAUUUUACAUUUUUAAGUGUUGAAUGUGUUCACUCUUGGCAACAUACUAUCUAAAACUGAAUGAGUCAUCACUGUAUAGAAUGUACAAUAGAAAAAAAUAGGGUCCUCUAUGCAGAAAUUAAUUUGGAACCUUGAUUGAAAUUGCUCUCCAGUGGGUGGUGGUUGGAUGUGGAUGGUAGCUGAUGCCAGUGAUCAACAAAAAUUACAACAUACAUGGCCUUUGGUAACUAUGCAAACGUGUUUCCGUCACAGGUUAAAAAAGUAAAAAACGGUAAUUGUGAACUUUUUAUCUCACAAUUUGGACUUCUAUUUUUGGAAUUGCGAGUUUACAUCUUGCAAUUCAGACUUUAUCAGAAUUGUGAGAUAAAUUCACAGUUGCAAAAAAUAAAAGUCAGAACUGUGAGAUGAAACAAAGACACAAUAACCCUUUACCCUUUAUAUUCCAUGGCAGAAAUAAGCUUUCAUAGGUUCCACAUGUGUAAGAGGGAAAAACAAACAAACAUAAAAAUGCACAGUCCAGCACACAUUCUUACCCCCUCCCUCACCUCUUAUUCUCCCUUACCUAUCUUCUUCUGAUCUAACUACUCCUCUCCCUCUCCCAGGAAUUAUUUUUUCUCUCUCUGAUUCUUUGUGUUUUGCAUCCACAAACCAAUUCAAAGAGGUCUUUUUUCCUCUAUGUUGAUGUAAUGGAAAGAGCAUCAACACCUGACUAUUCCUCCAACUGAGACUGGAAUCAGCUAUUUCUAAAUAUUUUGGUGAUCUGUUACUUAAAAAUGCUUAUCAGUUGUUACAAUAUUUUAUAUAGAGAUAUUUUUCAAUACUUUUGAGUUGCUGUUGUUGCAGAAGUAAAGGCUUUACACUAUAUUUAAAGUUUGGAACAUUAGGUCUUCAUUUCAGUCAUGCUGUGAAAAAAAAGAUAAGAAAGAUAUAUGAUUUUGGUAUGGGGUAAGCUUAUGUGAAAAGAAAAUUUAAGCAUUUUAGAAACGUAAAGGUUAAAGGUAUGGUCACAACACACUGAUGUUGUGCUAAUCGUGUAUAGUGUUUUGAAAAUGUGACUACAGAUUGGACAAAAGGAUGUUAGCAAUUGAAAAAAACUGUAAACGUGCAAAUAUAAAUAACUGUUUAGGUUGAUGUUUUGAAUAAGAUGUUUAUACAUGACCAAAAAUCCACUGUAAUACAGAUACAGUAUAUGCCAGCUCUGCCAACAAAAUAUAUGCAGUGCAAUUAAUGGGCAUGCAUAAUUUUCUAUUUAAUAGUGAUCCAAAAAAUCCAUUUGAUCAUUGAAAUGUGUGGAUAUUUCAAAACAUUAAACAUUUACACUUGUUGUUUAUAUUAUUUGCCAUGCAGUGUGCAUAUAGACAUAUGAAUUAUACAGAUAUUGUGCAUGGAUUUACAGACCAAAAGCUGGUUAUUUUGAGAUGAUUUGGCCCUAUCGUGAAUGACAAAGACCAGAGCAUGAGAGAUGAAAUCACAUGCAAAAGGUUAUAAAGUUUGGCAACAUCAAAAGAAAUGGGAUGGGAAAGGGAACAACAGCAAG
ensembl:lncRNA